UUUUCUUUCUGAGAUACUGAGGAGAGAAAACGGGGCUUGACCUCCAAAAACUUCAUUUUGAAUCCUGCCUCUGUCUUGUAUACCUGUGGUUGGCUACAUACAUGUCACUAUGGAGGCAGAGACACUGAGGAUCCAGCAGCCCUGGGCAGUUGUGGCUUAGAGAGAGAGCUGAUGGUGGACCCACACAUGAAACAUUCUUUCACAUGGUGGAAAAUCAAGCCAGGUGUUUGGCAGCACCGGAGUGUUCAGGUGUAACUGUGCCAGUGAUGGAACAUUACGAGCAGCGUGGAUGAAGAAUGAGGCAUGGAGAAUCCUGGGACCGAGGUGCCUUGGGGCCCAUCCCUUCCGAGCGCCCCUGCUGAUGAGACAGAACCUGACAACGCUCACUUGGAUUCCUGCUGCAUUUGAACUGCGAGCAUGUGCGAUGCAAAACCACCACAGCAGGAUCUGGGUUAGAGACUCCAUUAAUGCUUGUGACUGCAGCUGCUUUAUGACUCUGGCAGAAAUAGGGACGUGAAUGAGGAAAUUACAGUCUAGUUGGGAAGAUCUGACAUUUAACCACAGCAAUGGAGAUGAAACAUCAGCCUCCUGCCCUUGGACUGGAACUACACCACUGGAUCGCCUGAGUUUCCAGCUUGCAGAUGGCAGAUGGUGGGAUGCUUCAGCGUCCAUAAUCAU